rnacentral:misc_RNA from 1 species
AUGAAUGACAAGUCGGCUUUCUGUGCUGGUGGAAACACAUGUGCACGUUGGUCGCAAAUCCACACACCUGUGCACCUUUGACUUUGGGAUCCGCUUGUCUUUGAUAUGCAGCAGGCAGGCUCUGUGCUGGCCUGGGUCUCAGAGUAAAUUUUACACACUCUUGAAUGUAAUGGAAUGUCUCUGUGCUUAAUGCGCAAAUAUA